UACGACCAUAUCCUAUUGAAACACCAGUUCUCGUACGAUGUCCGAAGUUAAGCAACGUCGGUCCUGGUCAGUAUCUAGAUGGGUGACCGCUUGGAAAUACCAGGUGCUGUAA